UGGACCUCAGAUCAGGCAAGAUCACCCGCUGAGUUAAAGC
rnacentral:rRNA from 1 species